CCGCGUCUCGCGUCACUGAGUCGCGUCACGGCUAUUGGCUUGUUCCUACUGUGGCGUCAUUAGAGCCCGGCCUCCGGCUGGGGCCACCCAGGCAACCGAUAUACACAGAGAACCACGUGGAGGAAAAGCACGCGAGUUUGGAGCGGGUGGAGCAGGAACAGAGGUGGACUGGAAUGUCACACGACGGGGCAGCUGGAAGGCAUCAUCGCCAUCAACAUACAGCCAUACUCCAGGAUUGCCCAUCUUCAACAUAAACGGACUCUCCUGGACUCCACUUCCCACAUCAGUCACAGCCACACUUCCUGAGAAAGAAGUCUACACUCUUCAUUCACUUUCAUUCACCCACUUCCAACCUGGCUCCUGUUACCACUGGACCGUCAAAAGUGACUCUUGUCAAAGUCACUAUUCUGGCUACCUAUUGCUGUGUAAUAACCUCCUCAAAAUUUAGUAUCUUUAAAAAACAAUUUAUUAUGUCUCAUACUUCUGUGGUUGACUGGGCUCAGCUGGGAAAUUCUUCUUGGGGUCUGUUUCUCAUGAGGUUGCAGUCAACAGCUGGGACUGGAGUCGUCUGAAGCCUCAGCUGAGCUGGACAUCCAAGAUGGCUCACUCACAUGGCUGGCAGUGGAUGGUGGCUGUUGGGUGGGAGCUUAGCUUGUGCUGGCAACUUGAGUGCCUAUAUGUGGCCACUCUGUGUGGCUUGGGCUUCUCAGAAUGGCAGCUGGGUUCCAGGAGGGAGUGUCCCAGGAGUGAGCAUUCCAGGAGAACCAGGUGGAAGCUGCAAGACUUCUUAUGAGCCAGGCUUGGAAGUCAUGCCAUGUGACUUCUACUAUAUACUGUUGGUCAUAAGCAAGACAAGGCCAUGCCAGAUUCAACAGAAGGGAUUACCCAGGGGCCCAGUUUACAUAGGAGGCCAUCUUUGGAGACUAGCUACCAUAGUCACCAGCGCAUUGGUCCUCAUCUUACUUGACUUCAUAGCAGUUGACCCAGUUGAUCACUGUUUUUCAAAACUCUCCCUUCUUUGGCUCCACAGACCCCUGGAUUUCCUCUUUCUUCACUGACUGCUCUUUAAUCUCUUUUGCACCCUCAAAAGCCUAAAUAUUGGACUGUCUCAGAUUCUACUCUGGGCCUAGAAUUAUAGAAUUAUUCCUCUGUCAUGUCUGCCUGCAUGAUCUUACUCGUCCCAUGGUCGAUGUCUACCAUCCAAAUAAAAUUUCCAGCAUACUUUUGUUUCUAGCCUGGACCUCUUACCUCUUGCUCAGGACUGGGAUAUCCAGCUGUUUUCUUGAUGCUUCCAUUUGGAUGUCUAAUGGGCAUCACAGAUUUAAUAUAUCUGCUUUCCCACCUCAAUGCUUCCCCAGCCUUUUCUUUCUCAACAGAUGUCGUCAUCAUCCACUUGUUCAAACAAGAGCCCAAGGAUCAUCCUAGAUUCCUUCUCACUUCCUCUCAAUCCAUCCCUGAAACAGCCAAACC
ensembl:lncRNA USP2-AS1 USP2 antisense RNA 1